rnacentral:pre_miRNA from 1 species
AGCCAAUGCGGCAUGUAAAAGGCUGAACUGUUCUGUGUCUUUACGUGCCACAUUGUCUCC